rnacentral:lncRNA from 1 species
CCUCGUGGCCCACGUGAGCCACUGGCCGCCGCGGGAUUGGUUGUCCGGCGAGGGCCGCACUGGACUGUGGGGCGCCGCGGCGCAGCGAAGCGGAGGCGGUUGGGAGGCGGGAAGUGAGUUUUGUUGGGGAGCCGAAGGCCGAGAGCCAGCUGCCUUCAGCGUCUGCAGGCUGGGGCAAACGUACUGAGAGCUUAGGGCGCAGGAGUUUUAGGACUCCGGAAAGCGGGCUGCGGACUCCUGCAUGGAUCUUUGGUUUGAGCCCUGGGUCUGGCCUUAUUCGUGUUUCCCCGCCAGGACGGUUUCUCGCCGUUUUCCCCUGAAGUUGGUGGGGUUUGGACCUUAUUAGUUUUAAGGGUCCGCUGUGUGUAAGCAUUGGUUGUCCUGCGCAGGGCGCUGUUAGGUAGCUGGGGGAAGGAGGGCUAAGAGAUGCGUGAGGUAUGGUCCUUACGUGGAAUGUUGGAGAUAAACCUAGUUUUCUUGGAUGUGCAAAGAGGGUCUUGGGCUACUGUUACAUAAUACAAGGAGGUGAAAUGCAAUGAUGCGAUGAUGAGCGAAGUAUAGUCUGACCUGGUAUUGCCAUUGCUUCAGUGUUGGCUUUGACCAGGGGAUGAUCCCUUAAUCUUCUCUCUGAGCUGAUUCUGGUUGUGGUUUUUCUACACUGGUAUGUUCUAGCCUAUUUGGAUACUGGUUUUAUUAUGUAUAAGAGUGUUUCUUUGAUAUUCUUUGGAAUUACUGAUCCUUUCAUGUUUUCCUUCUUAGGUGAAAAACCUGACUUUGAUAUCUUCCUGGAGGACUACGCUGUUUCAAUCCUAAAUCUGGUUCAGUUCCCUUACUGACUUAUACUAUAUUAAAAAUGUUUGGGGGCUGGCCCCGUGGCCGAGUGGUUAAGUUCGCGCGCUCCGCUGCAGGCGGCCCAGUGUUUCGUUAGUUCGAAUCCUGGGCGCGGACAUGGCACUGCUCAUCAGACCACGCUGAGGCGGCGUCCCACAUGCCACAACUAGAAGAACCCACAAUGAGGAAUACACAACUAUGUACCGGGGGGCUUUGGGGAGAAAAAGG